GAUGAACGCUGGCGGCGUGCCUAAUACAUGCAAGUCGAGCGAAUGGAUUAAGAGCUUGCUCUUAUGAAGUUAGCGGCGGACGGGUGAGUAACACGUGGGUAACCUGCCCAUAAGACUGGGAUAACUCCGGGAAACCGGGGCCAAUACCGGAUAAUAGUUUGAACUGCAGGGUUCAAAAUUGAAAGGCGGCUUCGGCUGGCACUUAUGGAUGGACCCGGGUUGCAGUAGCAAGUUGGUGAGGUAACGGCUCACCAAGGCAACGAUGCGUAGCCGAGCUGAGAGGGUGAUCGGCCACACUGGGACUGAGACACGGCCCAGACUCCUACGGGAGGCAGCAGUAGGGAAUCUUCCGCAAUGGACGAAAGUCUGACGGAGCAACGCCGCGUGAGUGAUGAAGGCUUUCGGGUCGUAAAACUCUGUUGUUAGGGAAGAACAAGUGCUAGUUGAAUAAGCUGGCACCUUGACGGUACCUAACCAGAAAGCCACGGCUAACUACGUGCCAGCCGCCGCAGUAA
rnacentral:rRNA from 1 species